GCAGGUAGACUAGUGGUUAGAGUGUAGAGGUGGUAGGUAGCCUAGUGGUUAGAGUGUAGAGGUGGCAGGUAGACUAGUGGUUAGAGUGUAGAGGUGGUAGGUAGCCUAGUGGUUAGAGUGUAGAGGUGGCAGGUAGUCUAGUGGUUAGAGUGUAGAGGUGGCAGGUAGCCUAGUGGUUAGAGUGUAGAGGUGGCAGGUAGUCUAGUGGUUAGAGUGUAGAGGUCGCAGGGUAGUCUAGUGGUUAGAGUGUAGAGGAGGCAGGUAGACUAGUGGUUAGAGUGUAGAGGUCGCAGGGUAGUCUAGUGGUUAGAGUGUUGGAC
ensembl:lncRNA